UACGGGGGGGGCAAGCGUUGUUCGGAUUUACUGGGCGUAAAGGGCGCGUAGGCGGCGCAACAAGUCAGUUGUGAAAUCUCUGGGCUUAACCCAGAGCGGUCAACUGAUACUGUCGUGCUAGAGUGCGGAAGGGGCAACUGGAAUUCCCGGUGUAGUGGUGAAAUGCGUAGAUAUCGGGAGGAACACCAGUGGCGAAGGCGACUACCUGGCCUGUUCUUGACGCUGAGGCGCGAAAGCUAGGGGAGCAAACGGG
rnacentral:rRNA from 1 species